GACGAACGCUGGCGGCGUGCUUAACACAUGCAAGUCGAACGCUGAACCCGCUUCGGUGGGGGAUGAGUGGCGAACGGGUGAGUAACACGUGGGCAACCUGCCCCCGGCUCUGGGAUAACUCCAAGAAAUUGGGGCUAAUACCGGAUGUGACCGCUGGCCGCAUGGUCUGGUGGUGGAAAGGGUUUCCGGCUGGGGAUGGGCCCGCGGCCUAUCAGCUUGUUGGUGGGGUAGUGGCCUCCCAAGGCGACGACGGGUAGCCGGUCUGAGAGGGUGACCGGCCACACUGGGAGUGAGACCCGGCCCGGACUCCUACGGGAGGCAGCAGUGGGGGAUCUUGGACAAUGGGCGAAAGCCUGAUCCAGCAAUGCCGCGUGAGUGAUGAAGGCCUUAGGGUUGUAAAGCUCUUUUACCCGGGAGGAUAAUGACAGUACCGGGAGAAUAAGCUCCGGCUAACUCCGUG
rnacentral:rRNA from 1 species